GACGAACGCUGGCGGCGUGCUUAACACAUGCAAGUCGAACGGAAAGGCCCUGCUUUUGUGGGGUGCUCGAGUGGCGAACGGGUGAGUAACACGUGUGUAACCUGCCCUUUACUUUGGGAUACCUUCAGGAAACUGGGUCUAAUACCGGAUAGGAGCUCCUGCUGCAUGGUUGUGGUUGGAAAGUUUCGGCGGUUGGGGAUGUCCGCGCGGCUUAUCCGCUUGUUGGUGGGGUAGUGGCUUACCAAGGCUUUGACGGGUAGCCGUCCUGUGUGGGUGGCCGGGAACAGUGGGACUGAGAUACGGCACAGAGUGCAACGGGAGGCAGGAGGGGGGAAUAUUGCAAAAAGGGCGGAAGCAUGAGGAAGCAAAGCAGCGUGCGGGAUGAAGGCCUACGGGUUGUAAACCGCUUUGGCCUGUGACGAAGAGGGAGUGACGGUAAUGGGUAAAGAAGCACCGGCUAACUACGUG
rnacentral:rRNA from 1 species